AGAAGUGAAUUAAGGGCAUUUGGUGGAUGCCUUGGCAUGCACAGGCGAAGAAGGACGUGAUACGCUGCGAAAAGCUGUGGGGAGCUGCGAAUAAGCUUUGAUCCAUAGAUAUCCGAAUGGGGCAACCCACCUUAAAUACCUAGAAAAUCUGUUUUGCUGAACACCUUGAAUAAGACUUUUGAUCGGUUUGCAUGGGACUUCCCAUACAGACCGUUAGGUCGUCGCCGAUUGUUCGGCGCGCCGUCCGCAGGCCUUCGGCCGUGAGGACAAAAGAAGCCCCGAGCGUGGGGCAUGAGGGUUCGGCAAAAGAGGUUUCUAGGUAUUGUUAUAAGGUAUCUUACUUUCGAAUACAUAGGGGUAAGAAGCGAACGCAGGGAACUGAAACAUCUAAGUACCUGCAGGAAAGGACAUCAACCGAGACUCCGUAAGUAGUGGCGAGCGAACGCGGACCAGGCCAGUGGCAAUGAUGAAUAAAGCGGAACGAUCUGGAAAGGUCGGCCAUAGAGGGUGAUAGCCCCUUACGCGUAGAACAGUCAUUGUCCUUGAGUAGGGCGGGACACGUGAAAUCCUGUCUGAACAUGGGGAGACCACUCUCCAAGCCUAAGUACUCGUGCAUGACCGAUAGCGAACAAGUACCGUGAGGGAAAGGUGAAAAGCACCCCGACGAGGGGAGUGAAAUAGAACCUGAAACCGGAUGCCUACAAACAGUCGGAGCCCGCAAGGGUGACGGCGUACCUUUUGUAUAAUGGGUCAACGACUUAGUGUAACUAGCAAGCUUAAGCCGGUAGGUGUAGGCGCAGCGAAAGCGAGUCUGAAUAGGGCGAUUUAGUUAGUUGCAUUAGACCCGAAACCGAGUGAUCUAGCCAUGAGCAGGCUGAAGGUUGGGUAACACCAACUGGAGGGCCGAACCCGUAUCUGUUGCAAUAGAUUGGGAUGACUUGUGGCUAGGGGUGAAAGGCCAAUCAAACUCGGAAAUAGCUGGUUCUCCGCGAAAUCUAUUUAGGUAGAGCGUCGACCGAAUACCCUCGGGGGUAGAGCACUGGAUGGGCUAUGGGGACUCACCGUCUUACUGAUCCUAACCAAACUCCGAAUACCGAGGAGUACUAGUCGGCAGACACACGGCGGGUGCUAACGUCCGUCGUGAAAAGGGCAACAACCCUGACCUCCAGCUAAGGUCCCCAAGUCAUGGCUAAGUGGGAAAGGAUGUGAGGAUCCCAAAACAACCAGGAUGUUGGCUUAGAAGCAGCCAUCAUUUAAAGAAAGCGUAACAGCUCACUGGUCUAAAUAAGGGUCUUUGCGCCGAAAAUGUAACGGGGCUAAAGCCAUGCACCGAAGCUGAGGAUUGUGGCAACCUUCGGGUUGCUUCAGUGGUAGCGGAGCGUUCCGUAAGUCUGUGAAGGCGGACCCGUGAGGGCUGCUGGAGAUAUCGGAAGUGCGAAUGUUGACAUGAGUAACGAUAAAGGGAGUGAGAGACUCCCUCGCCGAAAGACCAAGGGUUCCUGCUUAAAGUUAAUCUGAGCAGGGUUAGCCGGCCCCUAAGACGAGGCGGACACGCGUAGUCGAUGGGAACCACGUUAAUAUUCGUGGGCCUGGUGGUAGUGACGGAUCUCGUGUGUUGUACAUUCUUAUUGGAUUGGAUGUGCAGCGAAGAGGUUCCAGGAAAUAGCUCCACCGUAUAGACCGUACCCGAAACCGACACAGGUGGUCAGGUAGAGUAUACCAAGGCGCUUGAGAGAACUAUGUUGAAGGAACUCGGCAAAUUGCACGCGUAACUUCGGAAGAAGCGUGACCCCAUUUUACGCAAGUAUGAUGGGGUGGCACAGACCAGGGGGUAGCGACUGUUUAUCAAAAACACAGGGCUCUGCGAAGUAGCAAUACGACGUAUAGGGUCUGACGCCUGCCCGGUGCUGGAAGGUUAAAGGGAGGGGUGCAAGCUCUGAACUGAAGCCCCAGUAAACGGCGGCCGUAACUAUAACGGUCCUAAGGUAGCGAAAUUCCUUGUCGGGUAAGUUCCGACCUGCACGAAUGGCGUAACGACUUCCCCGCUGUCUCCAACAUAGACUCAGUGAAAUUGAAUUCCCCGUGAAGAUGCGGGGUUCCUGCGGUCAGACGGAAAGACCCCGUGCACCUUUACUAUAGCUUUACACUGGCAUUCGCCAAGGCAUGUGUAGGAUAGGUGGUAGGCUUUGAAGCAGGGACGCCAGUCUUUGUGGAGCCAUCCUUGAAAUACCACCCUUAUCUUCGUGGAUGUCUAACCGCGGUCCGUUAUCCGGAUCCGGGACAGUGUAUGGUGGGUAGUUUGACUGGGGCGGUCGCCUCCGAAAGAGUAACGGAGGCGCGCGAUGGUGGGCUCAGACCGGUCGGAAAUCGGUCGUCGAGUGCAAUGGCAUAAGCCCGCCUGACUGCGAGACUGACAAGUCGAGCAGAGACGAAAGUCGGUCAUAGUGAUCCGGUGGUCCCGUGUGGAAGGGCCAUCGCUCAACGGAUAAAAGGUACGCCGGGGAUAACAGGCUGAUGACCCCCAAGAGUCCAUAUCGACGGGG
rnacentral:rRNA from 1 species